UGCAAAUAAAGAACUGAGAUUAUUAAACAUAUUAUAUAAAAAAGGUUCCAUCUACUACACCUCUUUGUAUGUAUAGUUGGAUAUUUUUUAAUCUAAUAUAUGAUAAUGUAGAGGUGUGGAAGGAGCAUCUAGGAUUGAGUACAGUAGAGAUGACAAGAUGGAUUUGAAGAUGGAGGAAAGAAAAUUUGGAGAAGAUGUGGGACUUGGAA
rnacentral:lncRNA from 1 species